AUUGAACGCUGGCGGCAGGCCUAACACAUGCAAGUCGAGCGGUAGCACAGAGAGCUUGCUCUCGGGUGACGAGCGGCGGACGGGUGAGUAAUGUCUGGGAAACUGCCUGAUGGAGGGGGAUAACUACUGGAAACGGUAGCUAAUACCGCAUAAUGUCGCAAGACCAAAGUGGGGGACCUUCGGGCCUCAUGCCAUCAGAUGUGCCCAGAUGGGAUUAGCUAGGCGGUGGGGUAACGGCUCACCUAGGCGACGAUCCCUAGCUGGUCUGAGAGGAUGACCAGCCACACUGGAACUGAGACACGGUCCAGACUCCUACGGGAGGCAGCAGUGGGAAUAUUGCACAAUGGGCGCAAGCCUGAUGCAGCCAUGCCGCGUGUGUGAAGAAGGCCUUCGGGUUGUAAAGCACUUUCAGCGGGGAGGAAGGCGAUAAGGUUAAUAACCUUGUCGAUUGACGUUACCCGCAGAAGAAGCACCGGCUAACUCCGUGCCAGCAGCCGCUGUAACAC
rnacentral:rRNA from 1 species